rnacentral:rRNA from 1 species
AGUAACACGUGGGUGACCUGCCCUCGAGUGGGGAAUAACGCUGGGAAACCAGCGCUAAUACCGCAUAGGCUUAGUCCUUCAGUGGAUUAAGUAAAGCCUAGUGCGCUUGAGGAGGGGCCUGCGGCCGAUUAGCUAGUCGGUGGGGUAAUGGCCUACCGAGGCUCCGAUCGGUAGCUGGUCUGAGAGGAUGACCAGCCACACUGGGACUGAGACACGGCCCAG